GAGAUAGGGCCUUCGGGCUCGACCUCCAACCCUCUAUCUACCUUCUCAUGUUGCCUCGGCGGGCCGCCGCAAGGCCGUCGGCAUUCGUGCUCUCGAGUGCCCGCCAGAGGACCGACCAAACCCUGCUCAUCGUAGACUUCUGAGUGAGAAACACAAUAACUUCAAAACUUUCAACAACGGAUCUCUUGGUUCU
rnacentral:misc_RNA from 1 species